rnacentral:misc_RNA from 1 species
GAAAUGCGAUACGCAAUGCGAAUUGCAGAAUUCCGCGAGUCAUCAGAUCUUUGAACGCAAACUGCGCCGAAGGGAUAUAUCUCUGCGGUAUGUUUGUUUCAGUGUGUUUGUAGAAUUCACAUAUCUCAAUGCGAUUGAAUUGAAUAGUUCGCUAAUCUCUUCUCUCGUGAAAAGCUAUGUGCUUGGCUUCCAAGCUCUUUGUAGCGGUCACUUCAAAAGUGAUGUACAUUGGGCAAAAAUUGGUUGCCUUUUAUGCGCAAAAAUUUCUUCAAUCAGCACCUGAAAUCAAGCAAGAUCACCCGCUGAACUUAA